GUGCAAGCAAGGAAAAGCAUCUGAAGGAGGCUGGUUGGCAAGUCACAUAGAAAACAUAAGAAUCAAGCUGUAGUCCUCAAAAAAUGGAGUUCAAAAUGGUAUACAUGGCAAUAUAAUCCUAAAGUGACCCUAACAAAGAGAACACUUUGUAAAAGAAAUGCAGGACUGGUUUCAGGCCAACUGAUGCCCUAAGCACAGCCAAACAAUGAUGCCCCUCGAUGGAAGCAAAACUCUCAUGCCAUGAGAUGGAAACAAAUGUGAUAU